AUUUUAAAGCAACAGUGUGCACGAUUUAGGGAUGUUUAUGCAGCAUAAAUGGAUUAUAGCAUUCAUAGCCAUCUAUGCAUAUUGCAACAUC